rnacentral:rRNA from 1 species
CCUACGGGGGGCUGCAGUGGGGAAUAUUGCGCAAUGGGGGAAACCCUGACGCAGCGACGCCGCGUGAGCGAAGAAGGCCUUAGGGUUGUAAAGCUCUGUUUUAGGGGACGAAUGUUCAUUCCAGUAAUAUGGGAGUGAAAUGACGGUACCCUAAGAGGAAGCCCCGGCUAACUACGUGCCAGCAGCCGCGGUAAGACGUAGGGGGCGAGCGUUGUCCGGAAUUACUGGGCGUAAAGAGCACGUAGGCGGGAACUUAAGUCAGGUGUGAAAGACCGUGGCUCAACCACGGGGUGGCAUUUGAAACUGGGUUUCUUGAGGGCAGGAGAGGAAAGCAGAAUUCCUGGUGUAGCGGUGAAAUGCGUAGAAAUCAGGAGGAAUACCAGUGGCGAAGGCGGCUUUCUGGACUGACCCUGACGCUGAGGUGCGAAAGCGUGGGUAGCAAACAGGAUUAGAUACCCCGGUAGUC